UGCGCCAGUGGAGGCGCCCAGGCACGCAAC
rnacentral:sRNA from 1 species